GCAAAUGUAAUAGUUGCUAAGUUAAAGCAAAAGUGGUAGUGAUGUGGUUGUGACACCAUACUCAUAUGAAGUAAUUGGAAAGUGAAGAUUGUCAUAGACUAAUGUCUAUUUUGGUGGCUACCACACCCUCGCUUCUCCUAAGUUAUUGAAAAUUCAUAAAUGUGGUAGCCAAAUGUCUCUCCCUCGUGUGAUUUAGCACAUUGCCCUCGAAAAUUUGGAAGUAUGUAAAUUCACUUUAGUGCCCUUGAAGAUUUAAAAGUUCUCCAUAUAGAUGGGAUGCACCCAUGAGCACUCUAUAGAAAGUCAAUAACUUUCACUCCCAAAUCUUAUUAGAGAAAUGCCAAAAAGGAAAAGGUAUAAAUUCGGAAAUUCAUUAAAGGACCAAAUAGAUACAAGAUCAAGACUUUGGGAAGACUUUUGAUCAUAGAAAACGAAUGUAAGAUGAAUGCAUGGGUGCACUUGGGAUUUUCAUACCAUUUCAUGCAUCUUAGAAAACUCGGUUUAUCCUUUAAAACUUCGAUUUCAUUAAAACUCGAGUUUGAUCAAAUGUACCUUAGGCAAAACGUUUUAAAAUUGACAUAUUAUUUCACCUA